rnacentral:ncRNA from 18 species
AACCCGUCACAACGGCUUCCUGGCGUGACGGCUGACAUACAAUGGAGCA